rfam:Mustela putorius furo unplaced genomic scaffold scaffold00024, whole genome shotgun sequence.
GCCUGGCUGGCUCAGUUGGUAGAGCAUGUGACUCUUGAUCUAGGGAUCAUGAGUUCAAGCCCCAUGUUGGGUG